GAGAAGGCAAAUUGCCUCAUAACUGGAAAAGUGCUCUGAUAUUGCCUUUUAGUAAGCCUGGUAAAACCCCAGACAAUGCAGGGAAUUACAGGCCUAUAGCGUUAACAUCUCACUUGUGUAAAUGGAUGGAAAAGGUAAUAGUUCGUAGACUGUCAUAUCAUUUAGAACAGAAAGGAUUGAUGUGUGCACAACAAAGUGGUUUUCGUAAAGGUAGAUCUACAAUAGAUGCCCUAGUGAAAGUUAGUAAUGAAGCUGAAAAAGCAAUUAGUAUGAAAGAGGUCAUGAUUAUAGUAUACUUUGAUAUAGAGAAAGCAUAUGACUCAAUGUGGAGAGAAGGACUACUGAUUAAAUUACAUAAUAUGGGUAUUGGUGGAAGGAUGUAUAACUGGAUUUUAGACUUCUUAUCAAAUCGGACAUUUCGUGUUAAAGUUGGAGAUGAUGUUUCAAAUGAUUUUAAUAUAGUAAAUGGUAUUCCGCAAGGUAGUGCUGUUAGCCCAAUUCUGUUUAACAUCAUGAUAAAUGACAUCUUUGAGAAUGUUGGUACAGGUAUUGGGUAUUCAUUAUAUGCAGAUGAUGGGGCUAUAUGGAAAAGAGGGAAAAAUAUUAGACAUAUGAUUAAUAAUAUUCAGAAUGCCAUAAUAAGAAUUGAAAGCUGGACAUAUGACUGGGGAUUUAAGAUGUCAGUUGCUAAAUCAUGUUACAUGCUCUUUACCAGGAGAAGAAAGUUAGGAAAUAUACAGCUUAAACUAUAUGGUCAAAGUAUGGAAAGGGUAACAAAGUUCAAAUAUUUAGGUUUAUGGUUUGAUGAGAAAUGUCUAUGGAAGACACAUGUUAAACAGACUGAAACUAAAUGUAUUAAAGUACUAAAUCUUAUGAGAUCAGUUUCGGGAUAUGAUUGGGGCGCAGAUAAACAGUCAUUACUUGAUAUAUACAGGGCAUUAAUAAGAUCAUGUAUUGACUAUGGGUGUAUGGUAUAUGGAGCAGCGGCUAAGAGUGUCCUGGAAAAACUAGACAGAAUACAGUUCAGAGCUCUUAGGCUUAGUAUUGGUGCUAUUAAAACAACUCCUACUAAUGCGCUACUUGUAGAAACUAAAGAAUUACCACUAUACUUAAGACGGAUAAAGCUGUCACUGACAUACUGGGUUAAGUUAAAAGGAUCUGGGAAAGAACAACCGGCUACAGAGGUCUUAUGUGAUUGCUGGGAGUAUUUGCAAGAACGAAAAGGUAAAGGAUUCGGUUGGAAUAUUAAUACAGUAGUGAAAGAAUAUGGUUUAAAGAGAUUUGAGUACGGCCCAAAUAUGGUAUGGGGUAAUGUUCCUCCAUGGAUAUUUCCAGUUCCCAAUGUAGACUUGAAACUUUUAGAACUAAAGAAAGAAUGGACUGAAAGGAACGCUGAUAAUAUUGGAUAUUUGGUUCAGGAAUAUGUUAAGCAGAACUACUAUCAGUAUAUACCAAUAUUCACUGAUGGAUCUAAAGAUUCAAGGAAUGAUCAUGUAGGAGUAGGAGUGUACAUACCAGAGUUUGAUGUAACCAUAUGCAAAAGAAUUAAUGACAAAUUAUCUGUA
ensembl:lncRNA